rnacentral:rRNA from 1 species
UGCCAGCAGCCGCGGUAAUACGAAGGGACCUAGCGUAGUUCGGAAUUACUGGGCUUAAAGAGUUCGUAGGCGGUUCAACAAGUCGGUCGUAAAAGUUUAGGGCUCAACCCUAAAAUGUCGAUCGAUACUGUUGUGACUAGGAUACGGUAGAGGUGAAUGGAAUUCCGAGUGUAGCGGUGAAAUGCGUAGAUAUUCGAAAGAACACCAAAUGCGAAGGCAACUUACUGGGUCACUACUGACACUGAGGAGCGAAAGCAUGGGUAGCGAAGAGGAUUAGAUA